rnacentral:rRNA from 1 species
UACGUAGGGUGCGAGCGUUAAUCGGAAUUACUGGGCGUAAAGCGUGCGCAGGCGGUUUUGUAAGCCAGAUGUGAAAUCCCCGGGCUCAACCUGGGAAUGGCAUUUGGGACUGCAAGGCUGGAGUUUGGCAGAGGAGACUGGAAUUCCCGGUGUAGCAGUGAAAUGCGUAGAUAUCGGGAGGAAUACCGAUGGCGAAGGCAGGUCUCUGGGCUAUAACUGACGCUGAGGAGCGAAAGCGUGGGGAGCGAACAGG